rnacentral:piRNA from 1 species
UAAGCAGCAAAGCUGGAAUUCGGGCCC